rnacentral:rRNA from 1 species
CCAGCAACUUGGAGGAAUGUAUAGCAAUGGCUAAUUGUGUAAUAAUAUGCAAUAUCAACUUAGUUGAAUAAAAUUCUGGAUGAACUUUGAUAAUGACAUUGUUUAUCCAUAUGUCUUGACCAAAUUACGUGCCAGCAGUCGCGGUAACACGUCAAAGGCUAGUGUUAUUCAUCUUUAAUAGGUUUAAAGGGUACUUAGACGGCAAAUCAAGCCUUAAACGGGACUAAUUUGCUAGAGUUAAAUACGAGGGGGCUUAAAAGUACUUUUGGUCUAAAGAUGAAAUUUAUUGAGACCAUUUUCAAAAGAAAAGUAGGCACAGGUAAAGGCGAAAGCAUCUCCCUAUGUAAUAACUGACGUUGAAGGACGAAGGCUUUGAAUAGCGAAUAGGAUUAGAUACCCUAGUAGUCGAAGGAGAAAAUGAUGAGUGUCAUAGACUAGACAAAUGUUUAGUGCAUAAAUGAAAGUGUAAGCACUCCACCUUAUGAGUAAAGUGGCAACACCGAAAUUGAAAUCAUUAGACCGUUUCUGAA